UACGUAGGGGGCUAGCGUUGUCCGGAAUCAUUGGGCGUAAAGAGCGUGUAGGCGGUCCGGUAAGUCCGCUGUGAAAGUCGGGGGGCUCAACCCUCGAAUGCCGGUGGAUACUGUCGGGCUAGAGUGCGGAAGAGGCGAGUGGAAUUCCUGGUGUAGCGGUGAAUGCGCAGAUAUCAGGAGGAACACCUAUUGCGAAGGCAGCUCGCUGGGACGUUACUGACGCUGGAGACGCGAAAGCGUGGGGAGCAAACAGGAUUAGAA
rnacentral:rRNA from 1 species